rnacentral:rRNA from 1 species
GACGCACCGUGCGAACGUUGUUCGGAAUCACUGGGCUUAAAGGGCGCGUAGGCGGGCCUCCAAGUCCGGGGUGAAAUCCUCCAGCCUAACUGGAGAAGAGCCUCGGAGACUGGGGGCCUCGAGGAGGGUAGGGGCAAGCGGAACUAUGGGUGGAGCGGUGAAAUGCAUUGAUAUCCAUAGGAACUCCGGUGGCGAAGGCGGCUUGCUGGACCCUUUCUGACGCUGAGGCGCGAAAGCCAGGGGAGCAAACAGG